rnacentral:tRNA from 1 species
UCGGUGGCCGAAUGCCCAGAGUAUUCGACUUUCAAUCCAAAGGUGUGAGUUCGAAUCCCACCUGA